UACGGGGGGAGCAAGCGUUGUUCGGAUUUACUGGGCGUAAAGGGCGCGUAGGCGGUCAGCACAAGUCAGUUGUGAAAUCUCCGGGCUUAACUCGGAAAGGUCAACUGAUACUGUGCGACUAGAGUGCGGAAGGGGCAACUGGAAUUCUCGGUGUAGCGGUGAAAUGCGUAGAUAUCAGGAGGAACACCAAUGGCGAAGGCAGCACUCUGGGACGUGACUGACGCUGAGACGCGAAAGCGUGGGGAGCAAACAGG
rnacentral:rRNA from 1 species